AUGUCUUACGUAGAUAAGAAGGAAUGGGACUGCUGUAGCUUCGCUUCUUCUUCUGCUCUCUACCGUCGAUUAGCUCGACCAGAGGCAGGAAGAUUACGGGGUUUACUGCUUUCCAGACUCGGAAAAGAGGGCUUCUUGGAUAAUGCGAUGGAGGUUAGCUACCUUCGUCACUCAUCAGUUAAGGCAUUCUAUUGGGAGAAGCCAGCUUGCUUACUAUUAAGGGAGGAGGAUGCUAUUUAA